GACGAACGCUGGCGGCGUGCUUAACACAUGCAAGUCGAACGGUGAACUCCGCUUGCGGGGGGAUCAGUGGCGAACGGGUGAGUAACACGUGGGCAACCUGCCCUCAGCUCUGGGAUAACACCAAGAAAUUGGGGCUAAUACCGGAUAUGACCGCUGACCGCAUGGUCUGGUGGUGGAAAGAUUUAUCGGCUGGGGAUGGGCCCGCGGCCUAUCAGCUUGUUGGUGGGGUAGUGGCCUACCAAGGCGACGACGGGUAGCCGGCCUGAGAGGGUGACCGGCCACACUGGGACUGAGACACGGCCCAGACUCCUACGGGAGGCAGCAGUGGGGAAUAUUGCGCAAUGGGCGAAAGCCUGACGCAGCGACGCCGCGUGGGGGAUGACGGCCUUCGGGUUGUAAACCUCUUUCAGCAGGGACGAAGCGAAAGUGACGGUACCUGCAGAAGAAGCACCGGCCAACUACGUG
rnacentral:rRNA from 1 species